UCUUUGAUAUGGAGGAAGUCCUUGGCAUCGAAUGAGAUGGCGGUUCCUGCUACAGGGACUUCCUCAUCCAGGGCACCACAGUAGGAAACAUUGGUCUUCACAGCAAAGGCCACUGCUUUGGCCUAGGAAGAACCAGGGACAAAGAACAUCCAAGGAUCAUAAGAAGACUAUGCUGAUGAGAUAAAUCCAGCUACACAGAUGGGCAAAGACCAAUGACACUUUCCAGCAUGUCAUCAGAUAGCCAGGUCCUCUGCAUCACAAACAGGCUGAUCACGCGGAGGCUAUCUAUGCGUAUGCUGGAUAAUGAGGCACUACAGCAGUGCUGUUUCAAACAAGGACAUACAAGCACUGCUCUGGGGCAGCCCAGCAGAACCUAGCGGAGCCCGGCUGUGCCCAUAUCAGGCUGCGUCUGUCAGCAGCCCCCCCCCCCCCACCUCACUGGGCACCCCGUCAGUGUCACAUGAGAGCCGUUACAUAAAGAAGGGAGCCGGUUGUACCCCACUCUUGUGCCAUCCUCUCCCUGGGAUAGGCAACAGGCAUUGCCGUGACAUUGACUUGGUUAACCAGUCAGAAGAUGGACAGAUAGAUGGAUGGACAGAAGGAUUGAUGGAUAGACGUUUCCACUGAACAAUUGUUAAAGUCUGUGUGGUGUGAUUUUAAGCUUAGUUGUUUCACAUGUUUGAACACGUAUUUUCAGGAACAUGGCAGAUACAAAUAACCAUCCUCUUAUGAGCUAUGGUUUCUCAUUCAGCCUGUGUUGUACUGUGGCUCCCUGCUUACCCAGCGGAAGGAGUCUCUCAGUGCUGUCUGGCUGCCAGGCUUUCAUUUCAGCCGUGCUGCAGCUUUGCUCAUGACCCUAACUGUAACCCAGCUUCCAGGAUCGCCACACCUCAAAAUUUCCUGUUGGUCUUAUAUUGGUCCCCUAACUGCUGCCAGAAGGAAAGGCAUGCGGGCUGGUGGCAGUCUGUAACAAAACCGGGACUCCAGCAACAACUCAGACCACAUCACAGUGAAAACAAAGCCUCUUUUUUUUUUACAAAAACUUGUAGGGGGUGUAGGGCAGUGUCUCUUGGACCCUUGAGCAAGGCUCUUAGCUCCCUGAAAUAUUCCAGGGUUGCCAGAUAAGGUACCUGGCCUGUCCCUGCUCUUUGCUCUUACCGGUAUAUAUUGGUGCUUUUCCACUGCCAGCAAGAACUGAGCAAGUCCCGAGCCAUACCGCAAACUGGUGGUUUUCCAUUGUAGAUUACCCAAGCCGUACCUGUAUUGCGUGCCUAAACUGAGCUUGUGGCCAUAAGUGGAAAUUAGUGGGAGAACAUUUUAAAACAAAUUUCAGGAAGCAC